GCAUUGGUGGUUCAGUGGUAGAAUUCUCGCCUGUUACGAGGGAGGUCUGGGUUCGUUUCCUGGCCAAUGCA
rnacentral:tRNA from 1 species